GCGGAAGGAUCAUUAUUGAAUUAUGUUUUCUAGAUGGGUUGUAGCUGGCUCUUCGGAGUAUGUGCACGCCUGUCUGGACUUCAUUUUCAUCCACCUGUGCACCUUUUGUAGUCUUUUUCAGGUAUUGGAGGAAGUGGUCAGCCUAUCAGCUCUUUGCUGGAUGUAAGGACUUGCAGUGUGAAAACAGUGCUGUCCUUUACCUUGGCCAUGGAAUCUUUUUCCUGUUAGAGUCUAUGUUAUUCAUUAUACUCUUAGAAUGUCAUUGAAUGUCUUUACAUGGGCUAUGCCUAUGAAAAUUAUUAUACAACUUUCAGCAACGGAUCUCUUGGCUCUCGCAUCGAUGAAGAACGCAGCGAAAUGCGAUAAGUAAUGUGAAUUGCAGAAUUCAGUGAAUCAUCGAAUCUUUGAACGCAUCUUGCGCUCCUUGGUAUUCCGAGGAGCAUGCCUGUUUGAGUGUCAUUAUAUUCUCAACUCUCCAAUACUUUGUUGUAAAGGAGAGCUUGGAUUGUGGAGGUUUGCUGGCUCCUUACUUGGGGUCAGCUCCUCUGAAAUGCAUUAGCGGAAUCGUCUGCGAUCUGCCACAAGUGUGAUAACUUAUCUACACUGGCGAGGGGAUUGCUUUCUGAUGUUCAGCUUCUAAUCGUCUAAGGACAAUUUCUUGAAUGCUUGACCUCAAAUCAGGUAGGACUACCCGCUGAACUUAAGCAUA
rnacentral:rRNA from 1 species